rnacentral:lncRNA from 1 species
AUAUAAUUCAUCUAUCCUGUCAUAGAUAGGCUUAUAUACAGGGAUUCCCAACUUAUGAUCUAUAGUUAUUGUAACAAUCUCCCUCUAACUUUAGAUCGCUUUCCAAUCAGCAGUUACAAAGUGAUAAGGCAUUCCAAUGCCCACUGUGACUUCUCUUUCCUGAAGUCAACUAGAAGGUUGAAGACUGGCUUCAACAGCCAUGAUUGGACCCCUCCUGAAAAAUCUGGAGAUACUGGAUUAAAAAUGAACCUAGAUCUUCCAUAGUAGUGAGUGGAUGCUUUAUCUUAAGUCAUCUCUGAAGGAUGUGGCUUGAUGGAUGGGAUUCUGCUUUCUUUAAUUA